rnacentral:lncRNA from 1 species
GUCGAGACGACGCUGCAACCGCAGUUCGGCACGGGCGUCGCGACGCUUCGCGACGCCUCACGUAGCCGUUGUCGCACAGCGACGUCGAACUUGCGAAAAAUGUCGUUCUAAGUAAUUCUAGCCUUAGUUGUUAAUCGUAUACUAAUCGCGUGCUAAUCUAGAAGCAGCAGCUGCAGAUUUGACGACUUUAUGGACGUCCAGUUUCAGGGCGAAUGCCAGAAAAAUUGUUUUUCCAGAUCUGAAAUGUAACCGUUGUCGCACUACGAGGUCGGGGCGAGCGUUUCUAAUGACCUGGAGAAGCACCUGCCCCUGCGCCACUGCCACCUCUUAGGCGAUGACACAGCCAUUUGCGCACACCGCACCAGUGUCGGGUGCGAUGUACGGAAAACUUCGGAUCUUGGGCCAGCGAGCUUCCAGCAGUCGACUUUGCAAUGUAUAUAUAUUGGGAGAAAUGUAAAUGUUUUAAGCUCGAGCCAAUGUCGGCGCUGAAACCUCCCACCCUGACACUACACUACUAAUAAUGCUUCCGCUAAUGAUUUCGUUGCUAAUUGAGACCCUCUGAUUGAGAAUUUUGUAUGGUUAGUGAAAGAUAUUUUGAAAAAAAACCUUUUGCAUGUACCUAUUUUAUAUACUUAUACACAAGUUCAUUGUAGGUUUAUUAAUGUAUUAACUUCAACAGAGCCUCAGUGGCUUUAGCCAGCUCUAUAUGCAGGUUAGCUCUGGAUAGAGCCAUUUGGCUACGGCUGUUGAUUGAAGGGGCUUUCAGCCGAAGCGCCACCAUGUAUAAGUAGGGUAAUAAUUUAUUACUAAACGAUACGUAAAGAUGAUUAGUCCGUCUCAUUGCCCAGGGAUCACUAAACAGCGUUUCUAACUCUCACUAGAAGGAUCCUGGAUAGCAACCUGAAGGUGCUUAGGAAUUUAAACAAAUUAUAUUACUGCAAUAGAGUCCAAAAUUUAUAUCGUUACGGUUUAAGAGGCGCAUUUUCGCACAGGUUUUCCUUCGGAAAACUCAUCGAAAAUUCGCAGGGUUUGGCUAGUGAAACACCAUUUACGAAGAACAAAUUGUAGUUUAGAUACUAGUACUUUUUGCCCUCUAUACAAGGGCUGUUCGAAGUAGCGACAACCUGUAUACUUAGGAAUAGGUGGCCUUUCAACAGAAAAUGGUAUUCAGAUGCCUCGAUUUAUAUUAUACUUAACAGCGUUACUAGUGUUUUACCGACUUUUUCGCUAAAAUGUAUAUUCUCAUAUUUGCGGUACUUUUCAUAUAUUUAACAGCCAUUCAAUAAAUACAACAGUUUAGACUCUG